rnacentral:rRNA from 1 species
CCCAGACUCCUACGGGAGGCAGCAGUGAGGAAUAUUGGUCAAUGGGCUUACGCCUGAACCAGCCAAGUCGCGUGAGGGAAGACUGCCCUAUGGGUUGUAAACCUCUUUUGUCAGGGAGCAACGCCGGCUACGUGUAGCCGGACUGAGAGUACCUGAAGAAAAAGCAUCGGCUAACUCCGUGCCAGCAGCCGCGGUAAUACGGAGGAUGCGAGCGUUAUCCGGAUUUAUUGGGUUUAAAGGGUGCGUAGGCGGAAUGCCAAGUCAGCGGUAAAAUCGCGGGGCUCAACCCCGUCCGGCCGUUGAAACUGGGGGCCUUGAGUGGGCGAGAAGAAGGCGGAAUGCGUGGUGUAGCGGUGAAAUGCAUAGAUAUCACGCAGAACUCCGAUUGCGAAGGCAGCAUACCGGCGCCCAACUGACGCUGAAGCACGAAAGCGUGGGUAUCGAGCAGGAUUAGAUACCCCAGUAAC